rnacentral:rRNA from 1 species
UACGGAGGGUGCGAGCGUUGUCCGGAAUCACUGGGCGUAAAGGGCGCGUAGGCGGCUCGAUAAGCGUGUGGUGAAAGCUCGGGGCUCAACCCCGAGUCGGCCGUGCGAACUGUCGGGCUUGAGCACUGUAGAGGCAGGUGGAAUUCCGGGAGUAGCGGUGGAAUGCGUAGAGAUCCGGAAGAACACCGGUGGCGAAGGCGGCCUGCUGGGCAGUUGCUGACGCUGAGGCGCGACAGCGUGGGGAGCAAACAGG